GUGCAAAAAAUCUUCCCGGAGCGGGUGAAGUGAAGGCAUCUGAUUUUGUCGGGCGCCUCCCACGAAAUUUCUCUUGAUCACGUCUGCGAACGAAAUUCCAGACACGCCUAUGAUGCUGAUGAUGAUAAGUACGUCAUAUUGCAGUGAGUAUAUUACAGCCCAAAAAUCAGCCUGGGCCACUAUUUCGAGUAGCUGGGCCGAAUCGUGUUUAAAAAAAAAUUACAGUAGAUACGUCAUCGUCACGAAUAUGACCACGCCCUCACCAAAAGUACUACGGACUCUUUGAGAAAACAAAGAACAGAAAUCCGAUGAAACUAUAAGAAAAUAUCGAAUUAAAGAACAUAGGCUUUAAGCCCAGCAUUU